AUAGCAAAAUCCUAAAUACACCGUUUGGUGGUGCGCCUGUCAAAUGCGGAACGUACAGAUAAGGUAAUAGCUAACAGGUGAAUAUACUAUUGGUAUCGGUAUCGGAUUAGACCCGGAACUUGUUAAUUAUUGGCAAUAUUAAUUAUGAAGAAAACAAAAGGGUCUGGAGUGGUGUAAUUUUUAAUCUACACCAUUGUCCUAUAUUAGUUAUAUAUAGAGUUGAAUUCUUUGAUUUGUCGUUUUUACCCGAUGACGGCUGACAAAUUGGACCUCGUAAUUUUAGUAUUAUAGAUUUUUUCUUUUAACUUUUGUUAUUUU
rnacentral:lncRNA from 1 species